rnacentral:rRNA from 1 species
AGGCAGCAGUGGGGAAUAUUGCACAAUGGGGGCAACCCUGAUGCAGCGACGCCGCGUGCAGGACGAAGUCCUUCGGGAUGUAAACUGCUUUUGCCAGGAAAGAUAAUGACGGUACCUGGUGAAUAAGCCCCGGCUAACUACGUGCCAGCAGCCGCGGUAAGACGUAGGGGGCGAGCGUUGUCCGGAUUUACUGGGCGUAAAGAGCGCGUAGGCGGUCUGCUAAGUCGGAAGUGAAAUCUCCAGGGCUCAACUCGGAAAUUGCUUUCGAUACUGGCAGACUCGAGUGACAGAGAGGUAAUUGGAAUUCCCGGUGUAGUGGUGACAUACUUUGAUAUCGGGAGGAACACCAGAUGCGAAGGCGGAUUACUGGCUGUCAACUGACGCUGAGGCGCGAAAGCGUGGGUAGCAAACAGAAUUAGAUACUCUGGUAGUCCACGCCCUAAACGAUGGAUGCUAGUCGUCAGGAGUAUCGACCCUCUUGGUGACGCAGCUAACGCAAUAAGCAUCCCGCCUGGGGACUACGGCCGCAAGGUUGAAACUCAAAUGAAUUGACGGGACCCCGCACAAGCGGUGGAGCAUGUGGAUUAAUUCGAUACUAACCGAAGAACCUUACCCAGAUUUGACAUCGAUGGCAAUCCCUGGAAACAGGGACCCCGGUCCACAAGACCGGCCUGAAGACAGAUGUUGCAUGGCUGUCGUCAGCUCGUGCCGUGAGGUGUUUGGUUAAGUCCAGCAACGAGCGCAACCC